rnacentral:rRNA from 1 species
GACGAACGCUGGCGGCGUGCCUAAUACAUGCAAGUAGAACGCUGAAGGAGGAGCUUGCUUCUCUGGAUGAGUUGCGAACGGGUGAGUAACGCGUAGGUAACCUGCCUGGUAGCGGGGGAUAACUAUUGGAAACGAUAGCUAAUACCGCAUAAUAGUAGAUGUUGCAUGACAUUUGCUUAAAAGGUGCAAUUGCAUCACUACCAGAUGGACCUGCGUUGUAUUAGCUAGUUGGUGGGGUAACGGCUCACCAAGGCGACGAUACAUAGCCGACCGGAGAGGGGGAGCGGCCACACUGGGACUGAGACACGGCCCAGACUCCUACGGGAGGCAGCAGUAGGGAAUCUUCGGCAAUGGACGGAAGUCUGACCGAGCAACGCCGCGUGAGUGAAGAAGGGUUUCGGAUCGUAAAGCUCUGUUGUAAGAGAAGAACGAGUGUGAGAGUGGAAAGUUCACACUGUGACGGUAUCUUACCAGAAAGGGACGGCUAACUACGUG